AUUUACUAGUAUUUUAGAUCAUAUCGGAUCCAUGUAGCCUGACUCUAGAAUAAGAUUAUGAUGGUUGUUGAACCAAUUGAAGCCAAGCAUUUCCUUUAAUUUUUAAUUUCUUACUACAGCGCUUACUCUCUCAAGACGCUUCAAGACUUCUGCUGGGAAGAACGUCACAACCCACAAGUGGGGACUGUAGCAGUAGCUUUGUGUGCGUGUGUGGCGGUUGGGAAUUGGAUGUUUUGAAUUUUCUGGUUCAAAUUUCUAACAACUCUCUGUCCCAUUCUUCAUCAGUCAUCAACUGUCUCUUUCCCUCUCAAAAUCCAAGAAGAAAUUGAUAGUUUUGGAUGACAAUGCUUGAAUCCCUUGUGACGUGAGAGAGACUAAUUAAAGGGAUCAAAAUGUUACCCAUUCCCAACCCACCCCGGCUUUCCCUCCCUCUCCUUCUCUUCCGGGUCGCUCUUUGGGGAGAGCUGACGUCUUCAAUUCCCGAUAAAUUCUCUUCUUCUAUCUUCUUUGUCACUGAAGUUGAAUCACUGAACUCAAACUCAAAUUCAAAGCCAUGGCUGCCAACGAUGUGCCGUGUUGCAAGCCCAUGUUCUGGGUUUACCUCUUCAUCUGUGCAGCCCUUGUCACUUUCGCUGGUCUCAUGUCUGGUCUCACUCUUGGACUCAUGUCUAUCAGCCAAGUCGACCUUGAGGUCCUCGUCAAUGCUGGUCAGCCCCAAGACCGCAAGAAUGCUGUUAAGAUUUUGCCAGUUGUGAAGAACCAACACUUACUCCUCUGCACACUCCUCAUUUGCAAUGCCUUGGCAAUGGAGGCAUUGCCCAUUUUCCUUGAUGCGAUUCUUCCAGCUUGGGGUGCCAUAUUGAUAUCUGUUACCCUUAUACUUGCAUUUGGAGAGAUCAUCCCUCAAGCUAUUUGUUCAAGAUAUGGAUUGAGUGUUGGGGCAAAACUGGUUGGGUUUGUUCGAGUGCUUAUGUUGGUCGUCUUCCCCAUAUCCUAUCCAAUCAGUAAGUUAUUGGACUGGAUCCUAGGGAAGGGGCACUUUGUGCUUUUCAGACGGGCAGAGUUGAAAUCAUUGGUCAAUUUGCAUGCACAUGAGGCAGGGAAAGGUGGAGAGUUAUCCCAUGACGAAACUACGAUUAUUGCGGGAGCCUUAGAUCUGACACAGAAGACUGCUAAAGAUGCCAUGACGGCAGUAUCCAAAACUUUUUCCCUUGAUAUAAAUUCUAAAUUUGACAUGGAUACAUUGGGUUUAAUAAUGACCAAAGGGCAUAGUCGUGUACCUAUCUACUCUGGAAGUUCAACAAAUAUCAUAGGCCUUAUUUUGGUUAAAAAUUUGAUCACCUGCCGCCCUGAAGAUGAAACCCCAGUUAGAAAUGUAACCAUAAGGAAAAUCCCUAGGGUUCCUGAAAAUAUGCCACUUUAUGAGAUACUGAAUGAAUUCCAGAAGGGUCAUAGCCAUAUGGCUGUUGUUGUAAAGGACCAGAAGGAUGCUAAGUUAACUAGGGAACAUGAAAGAGGCAAGCCUGACAUGUUAGAGAAAACCAUGGAACCAAAUAAAAAUCAGAUAGAAGUGGAGGAAAAAGGAAGUGGUUCCCAGCUAAAUCUGGACAAGCAACUGAAUCCUGCUGCACAGGCAUUCCCUUUGUUUUCUGAUGUCACCAAUGCUUGGAGCCCUACACUAAGAAGUAUCAUUGAGCAAGAAGAAAAGUCUAAGCAAUUGAGGAAAUGGGAGUAUGGAGGUGAAAGUGUUCUCAAUGUAGAUUCAGAUCUUCCUAGCUAUGCAUUGGACGAUGAAGUCAUUGGUAUCAUAACAAUGGAGGAUGUUAUUGAAGAAUUACUUCAGGAAGAAAUAUUUGAUGAAACUGAUGGGUUUGUUGAGGUACACGACAAAAUUAGAAUAAAUAUGCUACCCCCAAGAAGAUCUUCACCAAGGUCUCCCGGAACAGCUUCUCAUCUUCCAUGGAGAACUCCAGUGGCUUCUCCACUUUCUCCAUAUCAUCGUACUUCUAUACUGCAUUCACCUGUUGCUCGAUAUUUUCAGGCACCUGGUCCAUUGCCAACUCUAUCUAGCUCCCCUGGAAAAUGUUCACCGAAUUCACCAGCUAAACUUUCAAGCCUUGGACGAAAGUCACCAAUCUCUCAUGAACAGGUCUCAAGAAAACCAUAUGAGAAGCUAUGAAAGUUUGAUAAUAUAUAGGGCUCCUAUCAAUGAAAGGAUAUGCAAUGCAUAUAUUUUCUAUUAACUUUUUUAGAGAUGAAUGUGAGUUUUUAUCAGUAUCAGUGAUCCACAAUUAAUCUCAUAUUUCACAGUUCAAAAAGUAAGAACACAUGGAUCGAUGCUACCGUGCAAACAAGGGGGGAUGGAUCAGAUUAGUAGAUUACAGAUCAGAAAGCUCACAAUGGCUUCUAUUUUUCAUAAACAAGACUUGUUUCCUUCCUUUGAUAUAACACUUUUGAUGCUUUCUAUGAGUCUGGUUUUCUUGCACCUUUGCACCAACCAAUAGUUUCCUUGUCAUCAUUAGUGGAAAUAUUGUUGAAGUUUGAAUAAUCAAUGUUUUAGAAUGUAAACAAGACUUGUUUCCUUCCUUUGAUUUAACACUUUUGAUGCUUUCUAUGA